GCCUGGGUGGCUCGGUAGGUUGAGCAUCUAGCUCUUGAUUUUGGCUCAGGUCGUGAUCUCACAGUUUGUGGGUUCAAGCCCCACUCCACGCU
rnacentral:tRNA from 1 species